GGUUCCCGCCUGCGCCUCUCCCUCCACACCGCCUUGCAAGCUGAGGGAGCCGGCUCCGGCCUCUGCCAGCCCAGGAAGGGGCUCCCACAGUGCAGCGGCGGGCUGAAGGACUCCUCAAGUGCCACCAAAGUGGGAGCCCAGGCAGAGGAGGCGCCGAGAGCGAGCGAGGGCUGCCUGCCAGCACGCUGUCACGUCUCAGCAAUAGACUGCUCUUGAGGCUGGAGUGCAAUGUUGUUAUCAUAGCUCACUGCAACCUGGAACCCCUAGUCUCAAGAGAUCCUCCAGCCUCAGCCUCCCUGUUCCAGGAUACAUGUGCAGGAUGUGCAAGUUUGCUACAUGGGUAAAUAUGUGCCAUGGCAGUUUGCUGCAUCUAUUAACCCAUUACCUAGGUAUUAAGCCCGAUACAAGAGUUAUGGAAAAGCUGCACUCUUCUACUUCCAAAGUUUAACUUCUUCACAGAAGUCAGUUUCAGAGUUGAGAAAAGCAAAUACUUGCUACAUAUUUUGAGGAACAAUAAGUAUUGAAGUUGCAAACAGGUUCUAUGGAUAUUUGUCAACAGAAGAUAGCUGAUCACAAAUGCGCAGAGAGGUAGAAAAAUGACACAAUGACCACCCUACCCUCUGAGUCAGCAAAUUGUUUUCUCAGUACAUUUCUACUCUGGUCCUUGUUUAAUAAAACCUCUUUCUCCUUA
rnacentral:lncRNA from 1 species